GCGGAGGGCCGGAUGGCCGCACCACCGCAAGGUGGCGAGGAAAGUCCGGACUCCACAAGGCGACGGUGCCGGGUAACGCCCGGCCGGGGCAACCCGAGGGAAAGCGCCACAGAAAACAGACCGCCCUGCCAUUCGUUUCGGCGAACCACGCGGGGUAAGGGUGAAACGGUGGGGUAAGAGCCCACCGCGGGACGGGCAACCGGACCGGCACGGCAAGCCCCACCGGGAGCAAUGCCGAAUAGGGACCGCAUUUUGGGCCGGCCUUGGCCCCGCGGUCCGGGUUGGCAGCACGAGCCUGUUGGUAACAGCAGGCCCAGAUGAAUGGUCAUCCCCGGGGCAACCCGGGACAGAAUCCGGCUUACAGGCCCUCCGCGCAU
rfam:Roseovarius indicus strain B108 contig2, whole genome shotgun sequence.